rnacentral:rRNA from 1 species
GGGCAUGGCGGCAGCUACACAUGCAGUCGAGCGGUAGCACAGAGAGCUUGCUCUCGGGUGACGAGCGGCGGACGGGUGAGUAAUGUCUGGGAAACUGCCUGAUGGAGGGGGAUAACUACUGGAAACGGUAGCUAAUACCGCAUAACGUCGCAAGACCAAAGUGGGGGACCUUCGGGCCUCAUGCCAUCAGAUGUGCCCAGAUGGGAUUAGCUAGUAGGUGGGGUAACGGCUCACCUAGGCGACGAUCCCUAGCUGGUCUGAGAGGAUGACCAGCCACACUGGAACUGAGACACGGUCCAGACUCCUACGGGAGGCAGCAGUGGGGAAUAUUGCACAAUGGGCGCAAGCCUGAUGCAGCCAUGCCGCGUGUGUGAAGAAGGCCUUCGGGUUGUAAAGCACUUUCAGCGGGGAGGAAGGCGAUAAGGUUAAUAACCUUGUCGAUUGACGUUACCCGCAGAAGAAGCACCGGCUAACUCCGUGCCAGCAGCCGCGGUAAUACGGAGGGUGCAAGCGUUAAUCGGAAUUACUGGGCGUAAAGCGCACGCAGGCGGUCUGUCAAGUCGGAUGUGAAAUCCCCGGGCUCAACCUGGGAACUGCAUUCGAAACUGGCAGGCUAGAGUCUUGUAGAGGGGGGUAGAAUUCCAGGUGUAGCGGUGAAAUGCGUAGAGAUCUGGAGGAAUACCGGUGGCGAAGGCGGCCCCCUGGACAAAGACUGACGCUCAGGUGCGAAAGCGUGGGGAGCAAACAGGAUUAGAUACCCUGGUAGUCCACGCCGUAAACGAUGUCGAUUUGGAGGUUGUGCCCUUGAGGCGUGGCUUCCGGAGCUAACGCGUUAAAUCGACCGCCUGGGGAGUACGGCCGCAAGGUUAAAACUCAAAUGAAUUGACGGGGGCCCGCACAAGCGGUGGAGCAUGUGGUUUAAUUCGAUGCAACGCGAAGAACCUUACCUGGUCUUGACAUCCACAGAACUUUCCAGAGAUGGAUUGGUGCCUUCGGGAACUGUGAGACAGGUGCUGCAUGGCUGUCGUCAGCUCGUGUUGUGAAAUGUUGGGUUAAGUCCCGCAACGAGCGCAACCCUUAUCCUUUGUUGCCAGCGGUUCGGCCGGGAACUCAAAGGAGACUGCCAGUGAUAAACUGGAGGAAGGUGGGGAUGACGUCAAGUCAUCAUGGCCCUUACGACCAGGGCUACACACGUGCUACAAUGGCAUAUACAAAGAGAAGCGACCUCGCGAGAGCAAGCGGACCUCAUAAAGUAUGUCGUAGUCCGGAUUGGAGUCUGCAACUCGACUCCAUGAAGUCGGAAUCGCUAGUAAUCGUAGAUCAGAAUGCUACGGUGAAUACGUUCCCGGGCCUUGUACACACCGCCCGUCACACCAUGGGAGUGGGUUGCAAAAGAAGUAGGUAGCUUAACCUUCGGGAGGGCGCUACCACUU